rnacentral:rRNA from 1 species
CAAUAGCGUAUAUUUAAGUUGCUGCAGUUAAAAAGCUCGUAGUUGGAUUUCGGGUGGGAAUGGCCGGUCCGCCGUUUCGGUGUGCACUUGCUACGCCCACCUUGCUGCCGGGGACGUGCUCUUGAGUUCACGCUCGGGACACGGAGUCGGCGAGGUUACUUUGAGUACAUUAGAGUGUUCAAAGCAGGCCUACGCUCUGAAUACAUUAGCAUGGAAUAACACGAUAGGACUCUGGCCUAUCUUGUUGGUCUGUAGGACCGGAGUAAUGAUUAAGAGGGACAGUCGGGGGCAUUCGUAUUUCAUUGUCAGAGGUGAAAUUCUUGGAUUUAUGAAAGACGAACUACUGCGAAAGCAUUUGCCAAGGAUGUUUUCAUUAA